GAUGAACGCUAGCGAUAGGCUUAACACAUGCAAGUCGAGGGGCAGCACAAGGUAGCUUGCUAUCUGGGUGGCGACCGGCGCACGGGUGCGUAACGCGUAUGCAACUUGCCCUAUACAGGAGGAUAACCCGUCGAAAGACGGACUAAUACUGCGUAUGCUCACAACUUGGCAUCAAGUGGUGAGGAAAGAAAUUCGGUAUAGGAUAGGCAUGCGUCCCAUUAGCUUGUUGGUGAGGUAACGGCUCACCAAGGCAACGAUGGGUAGGGGAACUGAGAGGUUUAUCCCCCACACGGGUACUGGGACACGGACCAGACUCCUACGGGAGGCAGCAGUGAGGAAUAUUGGUCAAUGGGCGCGAGCCUGAACCAGCCAAGUCGCGUGAAGGAUGACUGUCUUAUGGAUUGUAAACUUCUUCUAUACGGGAAUAACAAGAGUCACGUGUGACUCCCUGCAUGUACCGUAUGAAUAAGCAUCGGCUAACUCCGUG
rnacentral:rRNA from 1 species